GAUGAACGCUGGCGGCGUGCCUAAUACAUGCAAGUCGAGCGAACGGACGAGGAGCUUGCUCCUCUGACGUUAGCGGCGGACGGGUGAGUAACACGUGGAUAACCUACCUAUAAGACUGGGAUAACUUCGGGAAACCGGAGCUAAUACCGGAUAACAUGUUGAACCGCAUGGUUCAACAGUGAAAGACGGUCUUGCUGUCACUUAUAGAUGGAUCCGCGCCGCAUUAGCUAGUUGGUAAGGUAACGGCUUACCAAGGCAACGAUGCGUAGCCGACCUGAGAGGGUGAUCGGCCACACUGGAACUGAGACACGGUCCAGACUCCUACGGGAGGCAGCAGUAGGGAAUCUUCCGCAAUGGCGAAAGCCUGACGGAGCAACGCCGCGUGAGUGAAGAAGGUCUUCGGAUCGUAAAACUCUGUUAUUAGGGAAGAACAAAUGUGUAAGUAACUAUGCACGUCUUGACGGUACCUAAUCAGAAAGCCACGGCUAACUACGUG
rnacentral:rRNA from 1 species